UACGUAGGGUGCAAGCGUUAAUCGUAAUUACUGGGCGUAAAGCGUGCGCAGGCGGUUUUGUAAGUCUGUCGUGAAAGCCCCGGGCUCAACCUGGGAAUUGCGAUGGAGACUGCAAGGCUUGAAUCUGGCAGAGGGGGGUAGAAUUCCACGUGUAGCAGUGAAAUGCGUAGAGAUGUGGAGGAACACCGAUGGCGAAGGCAGCCCCCUGGGUCAAGAUUGACGCUCAUGCACGAAAGCGUGGGGAGCAAACAGG
rnacentral:rRNA from 1 species